rnacentral:rRNA from 1 species
ACUCAAAGGAAUAGACGGGGGCCCGCACAAGCGGCGGAGCAUGUUGCUUAAUUCGAUGCAACGCGAAGAACCUUACCUAGGUUGAACUACGCAGGAAAAGCCAUAGAGAUAUGGUGUCCGAAAGGGUCUGCGAUAGGUGGUGCAUGGCUGUCGUCAGCUCGUGUCGUGAGAUGUUGGGUUAAGUCCCGCAACGAGCGCAACCCUUAUUCUAUGUUGCCAGCACGUAAUGGUGGGGACUCGUAGAAGACUGCCGGGGUCAACUCGGAGGAAGGUGGGGAUGACGUCAAGUCAUCAUGCCCCUUAUGCCUAGGGCUGCAAACAUGCUACAAUGGCUGGUACAAAGGGCUGCUAUCCCGCGAGGGUGAGCGAAUCCCAUAAAGCCAGUCUCAGUUCGGAUUGGAGUCUGCAACUCGACUCCAUGAAGUCGGAGUCGCUAGUAAUCCCGGAUCAGCAAUGCCGGGGUGAAUACGUUCCCGGGCCUUGUACACACCGCCCGU